UUUUCCUCGGUUUUUUUUUAAGAGCUAUUUUAUUUUUAUUCAUGUGUAUAUGUGUCUGUCCAUUUGUGGACACCCAUAAAGACCGUAAGGGAGGCGUGUGCUUUCAACGGCUGAGCCACCUCUCCAUCCUCCUCUCCCCUUUUUUCCUUAAUUAUGCUCCAAACCUUAGGAAUACAGGUCCUACACUUUGCUGUUCAGUUCAGGCAUUAAAUCCAAUGCUCAGAAUGCAGCAAUAACAAUAAUUAUUUGUUGACUGAUAAAUAACUAAUUUGUUAAUAACCAAUCCUGGUGGGCCGGACCCAGAGAACUCUUGAUCCCACUUCUCAGAAUAUUAAAUAUGUUGUUUACAUACAAAAUAGGAAUGGUUGCUGAUAAAACAGACUCAAAAUAGAAAAAUGAAGCCAGAGGCUUUCUUAAAAGUUCAAGAGAUUAUUGAGAAGCAGGUUAGAGACGCAUUGUCACCACUGUUUGCCUAGACUGGGGAGGAAGGCCAGCAGUCAUUGGAAGCUGAAAUGGCAAGGACUUAGAAUCUCCCCUCAAGCCUCCAGGAAUAAACUCAGCACUGGCAAUACACUGAGCUUAGCUCUGUGGACCCAUGUGGACCCACAGACCUGUCAGAGACAGCUCUAAGCUCUUGCUGAUGUGUUAUGACACAGACAGACACCACAUACAUUUGUGUAGAAGAGAAAUCUUGCACAUUAGCUUAGGACUUGUUUUAAAUGAACUUCACCCUAGCAAUGGUAUGUUUCCUGACAACUGCAGAGGAGGCGACUCAUUUUUCCUACUCUCUGUCUUUCCUAUGUGGUACCAAGCCCAUAUGUAUAUGUC
rnacentral:lncRNA from 1 species